AUUGAACGCUGGCGGCAGGCCUAACACAUGCAAGUCGAACGGUAGCACAGAGAGCUUGCUCUCGGGUGACGAGUGGCGGACGGGUGAGUAAUGUCUGGGAAACUGCCUGAUGGAGGGGGAUAACUACUGGAAACGGUAGCUAAUACCGCAUAACGUCGCAAGACCAAAGUGGGGGACCUUCGGGCCUCACGCCAUCGGAUGUGCCCAGAUGGGAUUAGCUAGUAGGUGGGGUAAUGGCUCACCUAGGCGACGAUCCCUAGCUGGUCUGAGAGGAUGACCAGCCACACUGGAACUGAGACACGGUCCAGACUCCUACGGGAGGCAGCAGUGGGGAAUAUUGCACAAUGGGCGCGAGCCUGAUGCAGCCAUGCCGCGUGUAUGAAGAAGGCCUUCGGGUUGUAAAGUACUUUCAGCGGGGAGGAAGGCGGUGAAGUUAAUAACUUCACCGAUUGACGUUACCCGCAGAAGAAGCACCGGCUAACUCCGUGCCAGCCGCCGCAGUAA
rnacentral:rRNA from 1 species